GCAGUGGGCUGGGGCAGACAUCUGGUCUGACUACAGGCCCUGACCACCAACUAAAACUUAUCAGAGGACAACACAGGAAGAGUGCCCUGCAGUUCAGUGCUACUUAAUCUCU